AGAGUUUGAUCCUGGCUCAGAAUGAACGCUGGCGGCGUGUUUAAGACAUGCAAGUCGAACGGAGUAACAUGAGUAGCAAUACAAGUGUUGCUCAGUGGCGCACGGGUGCGUAACACGUGAGUUACAUGCCCUGCAGAGAGGGAUAGCCCAGGGAAACUUGGAUUAAUACCUCAUGGUCUCGCAAGAGUAAAGAUGGCCGUAAGGCUGUCGCUGCAGGAUUGGCUCGCGGCCUAUCAGCUAGUUGGUGAGGUAACGGCUCACCAAGGCUACGACGGGUACCUGGUCUGAGAGGACGAUCAGGCACACUGGAACUGAGACACGGUCCAGACACCUACGGGUGGCAGCAGUCGAGAAUCAUUCACAAUGGGGGCAACCCUGAUGGUGCAACGCCGCGUGGAGGAAGAAGGUCUUCGGAUUGUAAACUCCUGUCAUCUAGGAGCAAGGCAUGGUGGUGAAUAGCCAACAUGAUUGAUAGUACUAGAAGAGGAAGGGACGGCUAACUUCGUGCCAGCAGCCGCGGUAAUACGAAGGUCCCGAGCGUUAUUCGGAAUCACUGGGCGUAAAGGGAGCGUAGGCGGCGUGGAAAGUCAGAUGUGAAAUCCCAGAGCUUAACUCUGGAACUGCAUCCGAUACUACCAUGCUAGAGUAUUGGAGGGGUAACUGGAAUUCUCGGUGUAGCAGUGAAAUGCGUAGAUAUCGAGAGGAACACUCGUGGCGAAAGCGAGUUACUGGACAAUUACUGACGCUGAGGCUCGAAGGCUAGGGGAGCAAAAGGGAUUAGAUACCCCUGUAGUCCUAGC
rnacentral:rRNA from 1 species